ACGAACGCUGGCGGCGUGCUUAACACAUGCAAGUCGAACGGAAAGGCCCUGCUUUUGUGGGGUGCUCGAGUGGCGAACGGGUGAGUAACACGUGAGUAACCUGCCCUUGACUUUGGGAUAACUUCAGGAAACUGGGGCUAAUACCGGAUAGGAGCUCCUGCUGCAUGGUGGGGGUUGGAAAGUUUCGGCGGUUGGGGAUGGACUCGCGGCUUAUCAGCUUGUUGGUGGGGUAGUGGCUUACCAAGGCUUUGACGGGUAGCCGGCCUGAGAGGGUGACCGGCCACAUUGGGACUGAGAUACGGCCCAGACUCCUACGGGAGGCUGCAGUGGGGAAUAUUGCACAAUGGGCGGAAGCCUGAUGCAGCAACGCCGCGUGCGGGAUGACGGCCUUCGGGUUGUAAACCGCUUUCGCCUGUGACGAAGCGUGAGUGACGGUAAUGGGUAAAGAAGCACCGGCUAACUACGUG
rnacentral:rRNA from 1 species